UACGUAGGGUGCGAGCGUUGUCCGGAAUUACUGGGCGUAAAGAGCUCGUAGGUGGUUUGUCGCGUUGUUGUGAAAACUCACAGCUCAACUGUGGGCGUGCGGGCGAUACGGGCAGACUAGAGUACUGCAGGGGAGACUGGAAUUCCUGGUGUAGCGGUGGAAUGCGCAGAUAUCAGGAGGAACACCGGCGGCGAAGGCGGGUCUCUGGGCAGUAACUGACGCUGAGGAGCGAAAGCGUGGGGAGCAAACAGG
rnacentral:rRNA from 1 species